UCAGUCGACUCCUACGGGGAGGCAGCAGUGGGGGGAAUAUUGCACAAUGGGCGCAAGCCUGAUGCAGCCAUGCCGCGUGUGUGAAGAAGGACCUUCGGGUUGUUAAAGCACUUUCAGUCGUGAGGAAGGUAGUGUAGUUAAUAGCUGCAUUAUUUGACGUUAGCGACAGAAGAAGCACCGGCUAACUCCGUGCCAGCAGCCGCGGUAAUACGGAGGGUGCGAGCGUUAAUCGGAAUUACUGGGCGUAAAGCGCAUGCAGGUGGUUUGUUAAGUCAGAUGUGAAAGCCCGGGGCUCAACCUCGGAAUAGCAUUUGAAACUGGCAGACUAGAGUACUGUAGAGGGGGGUAGGAAUUUCAGGUGUAGCGGUGAAAUGCGUAGAGAUCUGAAGGAAUACCGGUGGCGAAGGCGGCCCCCUGGACAGAUACUGACACUCAGAUGCGAAAGCGUGGGGAGCAAACAGGAUUAGAUACCCCUGGUAG
rnacentral:rRNA from 1 species